UAGGGAAUCUUCGNGCAAUGGACGGAAGUCUGACCGAGCAACGCCGCGUGAGUGAAGAAGGUUUUCGGAUCGUAAAGCUCUGUUGUAAGAGAAGAACGAGUGUGAGAGUGGAAAGUUCACACUGUGACGGUAUCUUACCAGAAAGGGACGGCUAACUACGUGCCAGCAGCCGCGGUAAUACGUAGGUCCCGAGCGUUGUCCGGAUUUAUUGGGCGUAAAGCGAGCGCAGGCGGUUAGAUAAGUCUGAAGUUAAAGGCUGUGGCUUAACCAUAGUACGCUUUGGAAACUGUUUAACUUGAGUGCAAGAGGGGAGAGUGGAAUUCCAUGUGUAGCGGUGAAAUGCGUAGAUAUAUGGAGGAACACCGGUGGCGAAAGCGGCUCUCUGGCUUGUAACUGACGCUGAGGCUCGAAAGCGUGGGGAGCAAACAGGAUUAGAUACCCUGGUAGUCCACGCCGUAAACGAUGAGUGCUAGGUGUUAGACCCUUUCCGGGGUUUAGUGCCGCAGCUAACGCAUUAAGCACUCCGCCUGGGGAGUACGACCGCAAGGUUG
rnacentral:rRNA from 1 species